rnacentral:rRNA from 1 species
UCCAUCUCAACAGAAAACAGGGAGGAGCUUGGCCUUUGAAUAAGUGUCAUAUUAGGCUAAUCGCUAUGACAGCACAGCCAUACAAAGGAGGCAAAUACUAGGUCAUCAUGCUCCCAGGAGCUAGGCCCUAAUUCCUUCCUAGUCCCUUCCCAAGCGGAGAAACUAUGAACCUUCGGAUUAAGUUAGAUGAUGUUUGCUAGAAAUAAUUAUGAGCAUACCUUAGAAGAUCCAUUUUCAGAAAAACCAUAGUUUUGGUGGGAGUCAAUCAGACCAAGAAAAUCAUCCAUAGGCCACUGAGGAAUCGUUCCUGCAGCCGAGCCACCAGAAAAGGUCAACCUAGGUUGCACCAUGUCCUCAAGAGCACCACUUUGCAUAGGGUGUCCUUUGGCAUAUUCGCUGGCCACUGACACUGGCAUGCUCCUCUUAGAUGGCAUCGAUGCCCCAACUCCACUUUGAGCAAGACCUGCUCUGUCAUAUGGGCUUGUGACUGAUGCAGGUGCACUCCGCUUUGUUGCACCACGAUUCUUUGCAUCUGAUGGUUUCUCACUAGAAGGCGUUUUUGCUCCAGAUGAAGAAGAACCGAGCUCAGCAGGUUCGAGCCCCACUUUUACUCCAGUUAGAAGAAAUCUUUGAUGAGCUGCAACAUAGGCAUUUGCAGUGUGGAUGGCAACAUCACAUUUCCUGCAGAGAAGGGCUCGAUCUUCCAGACAAAAGAAAUAGCCAACUGUCUCCUGCAAUAUAAGCCCAUUGCAUCAGGAUUGCCAAAGUCAUUGAGCAAGAACAAUUGUGAACUUAAACGAAAUAUAAUACGUAAAUACACCGCAAAUAUGUUCUGCAAGACCACAGGAAUCCACCCCACAUAAUUAGUGAUCCUGCAAUACAAAAUUCCUAAGGUUGCUGACCUGAGAAUCACAUACCAGUGUUUAACAAUUAUAUCUAUCAACAUCUAUAAGAAUUACCAUAUUGGCGCAAAAUGAUUCCAACAGACAUCUGCACAUAUCAGAAAGAUCAAUGAAACCUCACAAAAAGUAGUCAAAGAAAAAAUAUUCACAAAAAGAGGGAAGAUAUGAGUUAUGGCAAAGUUGUUUCAAAAACCCAAAUCCAAUAGGAAAUCCGAUUAAUGUACCAAUAUUAAUGCAAAUAUGACCACAUUUCACAAGUCCAGAUCUCAAUACACUCAGAAGUAUUAGUAUGACUCUUCAUAUGCAAUUCAAAAAUCAUAGAAGUUUGAAAUCAUAUUUAAUUCCCAACAAAUCGGGUUCUAAUUAUCCAACGGAUGUACAGGUGGCAAAACUUCCGAUUAUUCAAACGCACAAUCCAAGUGUACAGUAUUUCCCGAAAAACAAGCAGAAGCACCCUCAAAGCAAGACGUUUAGGCGUAAGAAGGGACUAAUUACUGCAAUUACACGAGAUUACAGAAUCAAGACCGAAUACAAACCAAAAAUCAAUUGACUUGUCACCCCAAAAAAAAAAAAAAAAAAACUCAAAAAGAUUCCUAUAAAACAAACAAUCUAUAGAAAAACCAUAUAAUAACCUGACAAAUAUCGCACUUGGGCAUUUGAGAGGAGGAGUGAGAGAGAGAAACACGCUGAUGCUUGCUAGCGAGCUUAUUGGCGGCGUGGACCUUCUCAUCGCACUCAUGGCAGAGCGCCGCCUCAUCAGCGCAGCAAAGCACCGUGGCUUCCGCGGUGUCGCACACGUUACAGUGAAUCUUCAUACCCUAAUUUUCUCUUCCGCUACUGUUCCACGAAAACCUAGAACCCUCCGAAGCCCUAGGAGAGAGAGAAAAUGUAUAGAGUUGUAUGUACUGUCUAAAUUUCUGGUAGAGUUCAGUGAAUGCACCGAAAACGAAAAUGAAAAAGAACUGCAAAAGGGGAAUGGAUGGUUUUAUUUAUAUUUAAAAGGCGUAACAGCACUAAAGGGGAACUGAAACAGUAGCAGAUAUUUGUUGGGGUUAAAUGAGGAUGAGGAUCUAAUAAUAUUGUAACGAGAAUAAGAUUUUUCUUUUUUUUUUCCAUAUCAACAACGAGAGUAAGAUUUUCAAGCGCGAAAGAGGAAAGCUCAUCUAAAAAACAAACAAAGAAAAAAUUGAGGAAUGUGCUGGAAUUUGAUAAAGGUGCGGAAAACACGUGUGAGGUAAGGGGGUUGGCAUCGCAGUGAAGUUGAAGGACGGGAUUUUCUCUCUCCUCUCAUUUAUUGGCUGUUGUUGUCGCGUUGGCUGGCUUCUUAUGCAAGAAAGUCUGAUUAGCGUCAUGUUACCUAAUUGCAUUAGUUAUUUGACACCUUGAUGUCGGCUCUUUGUCACCUAGACCAUAGGAUGUUUUAAGAAUUGGGUUUUUCGCCCAUUAAAACGGUACAUGAGUUGGGUUCAAAACAUUGUGAGACAGUUCGAUUCAUAUCCGGUGUGAACGUUAGAGUAUUGAGAGGACUGUUCUCUAGUACGAGAGGACUGGGAGGGAUGCACCUCUAGUUUACCAGUUAUCGUGCCCACGGUAAACUCUGGGUAGUCAAGUGCAGAGAGGAUACCUACUAAAAGUAUCUUAAGUAGUAAGCCCACCCCAAGAUAAGUGCUCUCCUAUUCCGACUUCCCCAGAGCCGUCGAUAGCACAGUCGUAAACUAAUUAUAUCAACUGUUUAACUUAACUAAUUGUAUUAAGCGUUUCCAAAAAAGAUAUUUAGUUAAAUUAGUUGUUUACAACAAGGUUACUUGAUAUAAUUCCACUUAUACAAAUAACGUAAUUUCAUUAUU